AAAGAGAUUAGAUAAGAUCAUUAAGGGAAUGAACAUACAGGAAGGAGAAAAGAGGUCUGAAGGUGGAGCUGUGGUGCUCCUCAGAUGUUUAAAGGUCAGGAAGAUAAAUAGGAACUGGCAAAAGAGAAUUAGUGGCCAGUGAAUUGGAGGAAAUCCAGCAAUGCAUUGUAUCCUAAGAGCCUGGUAAGGGGGACACUUCAAGGAGAAGGAAGUCAGAGGAAGUCAUCUAUAUAGUCAAAUGCUUCUGAGACACAAAGAAGAGGAGUACUGAGAAGUAGCCAUUGAAUUCAGAAACAUGGACGUCAUCAGCAACCUUGAUGAAAGCAGUUUGGUUGUUUGGUGGAGAAGAAAAGCAGAUUGGAGGAGUGAGAAUUAAAGAGGAAUUGCAACACUGAAUAUCAACUCUUCUGAGUGUUGCUGUAAAGAAGACUAGAGAAACGGAAGAAGCUAAAGGGAGACAGCAUGAGAAUACUGGAAGCUGCACUAAGAGAUCAAGACCAUCUGGGUUCAAGCGAAGUCUUUGCCUCUUCCUCACUGUUUGUGGGCUCAUUUCUUAACCAUUGUCAGCUUCACUUGGUUCAUCUGUAAAAUGAAGAAAAUAAUAACUGCCCUGCAGUUAUUGUGAAGAUCAAAUGCAAUAAGCUCUGAGAACUGACUGGGCUCUGCUGGACGGUUGUUGCAUAGGCCUUCUCCCUGUACUUGCAAUCAGGUGUUGGCUGGGCUGCAGCCAUCCGAAGGCUCACUAGGGCUGCACAUCCCCAGUGACUCCCCUCCUGAAUGGCAUUUGAUGAGUGGAAGUUCAGAGCACCCACACACAGUUCCUUCAUGCAGCUAGGGCUUCUCACAAUACAAUGGCUGGGUCCUAAGUGAGAGAACGCCAAAAGUGAACAGUCCAAUAAGUAGAAGACAGAUACUUCCAGGCCAGUAAACGGCUAUGCCUGAAACUGGCAUAGCGUCACUUCUGCUGUAUCCCAUUGGUCAAAGCAGUCACAGAUCCCACUCGGAUUCAAGAGGGUAGAGAAAUAAACUCCACUCUUUUGACGGGGGGGAAGCAACAUCACAUUGAAGAAGAAACUGGGAGAUGGGAGAUAGCAUUGCAUCCAUCAUUGGAAAAUAAUGACUAGAUACAGUCACUCAUGCUUGUAACUUCAGUGCCUUGUGAAGACAAGGUUGAAGGAUUGCUGGAGGCUGGGAGUUUGAGACCAGCCUGGUCAACAUAGGAAGACUCAUCUCUACAAAGAUAAAAAUUACCUGGGCAUGGCAACUCACUCUGGUUGUCCUAGCUACUCAGCAGGCUGAAUCGGGAGGCUUGUUUGAGCCCAGCAGUUUGAGGCUGCAGUAAGCUAUGAUAG
rnacentral:lncRNA from 1 species